CUUUCCUUGAUGACGACUGGCGCACGGGUGAGUAACGCGUAUCCAACCUUCCCAUAACUACGGGAUAACCCGUUGAAAGACGGCCUAAUACCGUAUGAUAUCGUUUGCUGACAUCAAAUAACGAUUAAAGGUUUAGCGGUUAUGGAUGGGGAUGCGUCUGAUUAGCUUGUUGGCGGGGUAACGGCCCACCAAGGCAACGAUCAGUAGGGGUUCUGAGAGGAAGGUCCCCCACAUUGGAACUGAGACACGGUCCAAACUCCUACGGGAGGCACAGUC
rnacentral:rRNA from 1 species